rnacentral:rRNA from 1 species
GUGCCAGCAGCCGCGGUAAUACGGAGGGUGCAAGCAUUAAUCGGAUUUAUUGGGCGUAAAGGGCGCGUAGGCGGGAAGAUAAGUCAACUGUGAAAUACCGGGGCUCAACUCCGGAACGGCAUUUGAAACUAUCUUUCUUGAGGGUAGGCGGAGAAAAUGGAAUUCCACGUGUAGCGGUGAAAUGCGUAGAGAUGUGGAAGAACACCUGUGGCGAAAGCGGUUUUCUAGCUUAUUCCUGACGCUAAUGCGCGAAAGCAAGGGGAGCAAACAGGAUUAGAUACCCUGGUAGUCC